GCUUGGCAGAUGAAGAGAUUGGAAGUGAACCACUGAGAUGACUGAUGAGCGUCCUCAGCAGGCUGUGUUGCAGGGGGAAGAGUGCAGGUUGUUUAUAAGGCCUGGGUCGUGCCCCUGGCCACCAUUUCCUGGCUUUGUGACUCCAGCUUUACUUCUCCUUCCCAGGGCUCAGUUUUCCUCUCCUUGAAGGGGAUGAGUGGAACCAGCUCUGGACGCUGAGCUGCCUGGGUGUAAAGGCUUCCUGUAAUGGGCAGAAGAGUGGAUAGGAGGGCAGCAGGGGAGCUGGACCAAAAGCAUCAUGUGAUUUGCCGUGAUCACAGAGGAUUUUCUGGAAGUAGCUUGGGCACAAUGUGUGCAAGGAGACAGAAGGGUCUCGUGGUGGGGAAUAGGACAUUCACACAGCCUCCUCCAUGGCUUACCUCACACAGCAGUUGUUAAUUAGCCAAGAAUUUGACAAACAGGCAUUAAAGGCCUUCUGAAUGUGACACACGAC
rnacentral:lncRNA from 10 species